GACGAACGCUGGCGGCGUGCAUAACACAUGCAAGUCGAACGGAAAGGCCCUGCUUUUGUGGGGUGCUCGAGUGGCGAACGGGUGAGUAACACGUGAGUAACCUGCCCUUGACUUUGGGAUAACUUCAAGAAACUGGGGCUAAUACCGGAUAGGAGCUCCUGCUGCAUGGUGGGGGUUGGAAAGUUUCGGCGGUUGGGGAUGGACUCGCGGCUUAUCAGCUUGUUGGUGGGGUAGUGGCUUACCAAGGCUUUGACGGGUAGCCGGCCUGAGAGGGUGACCGGCCACAUUGGGACUGAGAUACGGCCCAGACUCCUACGGGAGGCAGCAGUGGGGAAUAUUGCACAAUGGGCGGAAGCCUGAUGCAGCAACGCCGCGUGCGGGAUGACGGCCUUCGGGUUGUAAACCGCUUUCGCCUGUGACGAAGCGUGAGUGACGGUAAUGGGUAAAGAAGCACCGGCUAACUACGUG
rnacentral:rRNA from 1 species